ACGUGAGUAAACGCUGUGCAGGGAGAGAGAGGAGGGAGAGCCACAGCCACACUGCCAUCUCAGAGCCACAGCCAGGAGAUGGACUGACAGAUUGCAAAUUAAAAUAGUCCUAAUGUAAGAAUGAAUGCAGCCCCCCCCAAAUCUCUCCGAGCACCAGCCCGUUAGUGAUAAGCCCGGCACGGAGGGAGCGUUGCUGCGGCUGGGCUGGUCCUGCGCCCGGAGAAAGGCUAGGGAGGGACAAUAAAGCCAGUCCCGGGCAGAGAAAAUCACAAGAACAAGAUAAAUUGAGAAGUUGGAGAUGAUGUCUGCAGAAGGGACUGGGCAGAUACGGAGGUACCCGAGGGAGAGCUUGGCGUUCCUCUGGAUGGAGCAGAGGUUCCUUGUGCAGGCAAAGGGCAGGCUGGGAUCUGGAGCUGCGUCCCCCAGCCGGGAUGAGGACAGGUCGACUGAACUGUUGGUAUCCGCUGGAAAACAAGGCUGCCCAGCUGCUUUCCCACACGUUUUCCGUUUCCUUCAUUGAGGAAAACAGGGGUGCUUACUAAUCCCACAGAUGUAAAACUGUUUGAAGAGUAAAAGGUUUGAAGUCAACUCAGGCUGCUGAACAUCCAAAAAGAGAAAGACCCACCAUACAAAUCAAUUUUUUGCCCUUGGGAAUGCAGUUAUCAGCAACAACAACAAUAACAAAAUGCUUCUCCUCAAGUUUAAAUCCCAGCAAACAGAAACAACAGUGAAAUUUAAGCUACAAGCACCAAGGCAUUGUGGAGACCAGCAGCGUUACAGACCUGCUCGAGGAGCUCAGCGGGAGAAGAGCCAGCGCCGCAAUGACGAUGCGAGUGGUUUGAACAGAGGUCUGUGGUGGUCUGUCUCAUUGGAAACUUCUGUGCUCAAACCAGGAGGAUGCUAUAGAUGGAACUAAUCUUCCACAGAUAUGCCAUGUGCUCUUGAGGGGGAAUAUUUGUCUCUGUCUCCACGAAAAUCGUCACAGCCCAGCUCCUUAGGCUAUGUAUAACCAUCGUAAUUUUGGAUGUGACCAAGAGUCCUGGGAACUGAAGGGCCCAUGGGUCCUUGGGAGAGUGGUAAAACGUUGAGAGAAUUGGUCACCGGAGGGAUCAAGAAAGAUGGAGAAAGGUCCAGGCAAGAAAAGCACGGCCCAAGUUGAUGGAUACACUGGUUUCACGUGAUGGGAUGAAGAACAUCAACUUGUAAAGAAGAACCGGUGCUGAAGAUGAAGGGUCGUCGCAUCCAGAGUCAGCCAGCCCUGGAUGAUUUCAGGAGUAAUUAUGAAGUUGAAUCUGGGAGGUGCUGGAGAGGGAACAGCAAAGUCACCAGAGAAAGGCAGCAGAGGAACUUGACAACAAACUCUAGCGAGAAAACACAGUGCCAUGAAGGGGGAGGACGCUCGGGCACCUGUUGUGACAGCUGUGACUAAGCAUACAAUGACCAGAUCAGGGUGAAUAACGAGAGAAUCUGCUCAUUUAAGAGUGUAUAUACAAACCCAGCAGGGACGUGAAACUGUUUUGCUUUGUUUUACUGAUAAUGUGUUAUUGGAGUCAUGUCUCUGACUGUGUCCUAGAGUGGGUUCAAAACAAUUACUUAUAUAACACAGGAUAUAUUUAAGUCAGGGAGGAGUGGGGAGGGAGAAAUAUGUGUAUCUCAAUUUCUGGUUCAUAAGCAAAAUGAAAUUAUGUUUUUCUGAAUAGAUUUAUUGAUUUCUGUUUUUCCAACACAGGGAUAUACAUCUCAAGGGCUGGAUGCCCCUUGUAAAAUCUGAACUGCAAAAUAAUUGGUGAAUCAGAUUAAAUCCUGUAUACAUCUCUUGCCAGCUGCUGGUUCAUACCCUAACCUGAACUGCAUUAGUCUAAAAAGUAAACUCCUUUAAAAUAAGCUCAGUCGGUGUCGUGUCCGGAAGUUGGAGCCCAUCUCUGGAUGGCUCCAGCCUGGUCCAUGGUGGCCGGGGCUCGCUGCUGGCCAGGGCAGACAGGCAGUCUCUGGUGCAGCCCCUGGCAUGCCUUCUUCUUGUAAUGCUCUGCUUUAGAAGUAGGCAGGCAUCUUCUGGAUCGGCUUUGGGGUUAAAGAGCCUGAUUUUGAAGUGGCAAAUGCACAGCUCUAGCAAAAUUUCAUCCGUAUGUGAAAGAAAAUUGCAUUUGCUGCUCACUUGCAGAGCGGAGUAAUAUGCAGGACAACAUCAGGGAAAACAAAAGGAAAAAUAAAACUCAGCAGAGCAGUUCUUUGGGCACCAAGAAAUAGCACGGUCUGAUGCGACUGCCCGCACUGCAAACCUGAUUCACAACUAAUGGCAUUCUAUGCAAGGAUAACCACUGCUACUUUCAUUUAAAAUGAAAACCAUAUUGAGAAACUUCGAAUACGAAGACAAGAUUUGUGGAAUGUAAAUACCUGGUGGGUGCAGCCAACCAGCACAAAAUAUAUUUAGAGGGAGCUGGAGCUCAGUCCCUACUAGAGCGCACCGUGCUUACAGAUCAUCGUGUACCAGGAAUAAAUUACAGCAGGGUUUGUCAACUAAUUUGGUGGAGAUUUCAAAUCUGUGCCUUCGUUGAUUUUGACACCGUGCAACGAUGUAUCCGAGCUUUCAGAUGUCUGGCUCUUAGAGUUGUGAAAUGAUAAAACAAACAAACCCAACAGUUCCAGCCUUGUCAAUCUAGUUCUCGGUGGACAGAUGCCCCGGCACUAGAAAAGCAUCAUCCCUUGCGAUACCUCUUGACAGUGUCUAAAAAAAGCCAGAGAUCUUCUGGACGCAAAAGUAAGACUGGCUUCUCAUCUCAAAAGAAAUCGUGUUCGUGUCCACGCUGAAGCUUCUGGGUAAGGCUGCGUGGGGAACCGAGCGUAACCUCUGCGCCUGCUGUGCCUCGUUUGUGCAUGAGUAAGUGAUUUCUGGUCUCUCAGAUAAUCAAUCUAAUCUGCUUCCGGAGCAAGUUGCCUCUGGACGGUGAUGGAUUAAUGGGUGAAGGUCCAGGUUUGUGCAUUGAGGUUUCUGGAAUGAGCCGGGUUCCUUGUUAGAGUGUGUGGACUGCAUCAUUAAUUAAUUAAAUGGUAUCAUUAACUAUGGAUUUAAAUAUUUUAUUGGAUGCUUAUCCAGUGGGAAUUGACUAAACUUUCUAAGAAAAUGGGAGGUUUUGGGUUUACGUUGGCACACCGGCAGGGACAGCCCUGUCCCGCCGGUAUAUGGCCGUGCUCUUGUACCCUUGAAGGCCGCUGCUGGAGGUGCAGCACAGGUCUUCUCUCAAGCAAAGCAGGGGAGGGGGAGGAGGCUUCAGGCUGGUCUCCUGCCCACAUAGUCAGUCCAAGUUCAGCUGAGCACCUGGGGACGUGCAGAGCUCCAACACAGCCCAGCCCGGUGGGGCAGAACCUGCCACGGAGCACAGCAUCAUCCUGAAAGUCUUGCGAGAUGGGUUUAAAAACAUGCAGAACCCGCUGAAUUCAUCGUCCGGACAACCGGCUACGACUGAGAAAAGCGGUGAAUAGUUUUGGUACAGAUGAGGUUUUCUUUUGGCUAAUGAUUUGUUUUUCAUGUCACACAUGGUAUCAUGAGAAGUUGCAGCAUUCGGACAUUUUUAAUGACUUCGUGUUGCUUGCAUAUUAGUAGGAAUAUUUCCACUGCAGCAAACACCAUAAACAGUUUCCACACCGGGGUAUGUUAUACUGCCACCAGAAUUGGUUCUUCUGAUGGUUCAUUUCUUUUAUGCUGAGAAUUCAGGACCAAUUCAGCUUGGUUUUAUGCAUCAUUAGAGAUUUACAAUUACUUUGCUAUAGUUUCUUUCUGGAAGCCUAUCUCUCAUGGUUAAUGCUAUGGGAGCCCUGUUGUGUAGAGGCUGGUAUUAGCCACCUUAUAGCAAUAAAGCGUUUGAGAAGGAUUUAGAAUUAUGAGUGGCUAAAUUCUCUGUGCAGCGACUGUAAUACUGUUAUCCCUUGCUGAGCUUGGGUUGAAACGUUUUUGGUUUUUUUUUUUUAUUCUCCUCGAAUUAGAAAAAAAUGUUGUUUCUUCAAGAGGUUUUGAAUCAUUUACAUCUAAUUUUUUGUUGAACUGCUGCAGUCAGAAAUGAGGAAUUGUGAGAAAUUCCAUUUGGAUUUCAUGAUGCUUAAAAUACAUUUAGACUGUAUUAGUAUAUAAUGAAAAGAAGGCCUCCUCAUUUUUUAUAUCACUUUUUAAAAGUGUAAUCAUUAUUUGGGACUUUCUUUUGAUAUUUAGAUUUUACUUGUGUUGCUGGAGUCAAUAAAUUUCACAAGCUUUGCCUUUGGACAACAAGCAAUGGAUCUGUAUGUGUAAUAAUCCACAUAAUUCAUGGUUUAGAUAAAUGUACUAUUGCACUGAAACAAACAUGAUACGCAGGCCUGAUCUAAAGGCCAUUAAAAUCAAUGAAAAGAGUUCAAAUUAACUUUUACAGCCUUUAGAUCAGGCUCUAAAUGGGCAAAUUACAGUUAUGGAGUUUCCCAUUUACAUACCUGUGUGCUGCAUUUAAUAUAUUUUAUGGAAUUGAAAUUACUUGGUACUCUUUUUCAUGCUUUUUUAGGAUAAGAAUUUGCCAAGGGGAUCAACAGCAGUUUUCCCAGGCUUCAGCACAAGGAUUAUAUAGUCAAUCCACAAAUGACUCAAAUCUUUGGGGAAAAAAAAAAAAAGGGGACAUGGUUAUCAGAGAGGCUUUGAGGACAGCAAGGACGGGAGCGCUAUCUGGCUUAUUCCAUCAGAGAUUCUCCUUCCCUCUCAUUAACAUACUCAGGACAUCAGCACCGGCCAUCGGUCCCCGGGGAAUCGUGUCAAACUUUUAAGGGAAUGCGCCCAAGACCUCAGCCCUGCGUUAUUUCGAAUAGAUCACAUCAGAUUUGUCUUGUGUGAGGUUAGAGGAAAGACUAGGGCACGGUAGCGUAAGGGGAGAGAUUCAAAGGUUGCGGGGAAUUUUCAAAUCCGUUGUUAUAACUCGGUAAUCUUUCUUCUUUUACAGGGUUCUUCAAUCCCACCGAGGAUGCACAGAGCUGAUCUCUACGUCUGUGAUAUCUGCUGCCGCUCUCCUGACUUUCAGACCGCUCUGGGACAAAUUCACGCAGCCUUCAUCACGGGGAGUGAUGUACAGAGCUGGGGAAGGCAGGUGAAGAAGGACACUUAGUGCUCAAGAGUGACUGUCGGUCCCCUCGCCCUUUGGAAGGAACCGUUUGCUCUGCAGCACCGGGUUUUGUUUUUUUUUUUCUGCACAAGGUGUUGCCAGAUAACUCCUAAACGAAUUACGCUAAAGCUGCAGCCACGUUUUUUUUUGUGUCUUCCGCGUGUCCAGGGUGAUUCGGCAGUGUCGUAAGUAGUGCUAUGAGUUUCAGGUAUUUUGUCAAUUUAAACCAUAUUGUUUGGGCCAGUCUUUCAUCAAACUGCACAUGUCGACUAUUGCAUUAACGCAUUUUGAGAGCACUUCAUUCUGGUGUUUAAGAGGGAAGAGGCUGGUGGCUGAGGACGUGGUUAGAUGCUGACUUUGUGCCCGCAGCACAGUCACGAGGCUUUGUAAAGGUGCACGUCUUCUUCUACCUGACCCCGAGGCAGGUGACGCCAGAGCAGCAGCGACCACGUACGUGCAACUGAACGCACCCCUCUAGCACAGCACCUUAAUACAGCGUACGGGGUGAGGUGGGUGCCUACCUGAAAGAAAAAUAAACCUCAUGAAAAAGUGACAUUAUUUCUUGGAAUGAGAAAGAUUGGAGAGUGUAUCUGCUUGGCUUUAAUGGAGCAGUUCCAGGAAAGCAGCAGCGACCAAAGUGUUUUCAGUGUCACAUAAUUCAAGAGAAAAAUCAUAAUUCCAAUUACCAUUUCAGCCGUUUCUGGCCUUGGGAAACCUAUGCUAAUAUUUAUUAUUAUAUGAUUGACCUAUGAUUUCUUCAUCAUUUACAUUAGCAACUAUGAUAUUCAUAGUAACAUCCUUUAAAUCAUAUAAGCAGAUGUCAACAGUGCAUGAUGAAGUCACAUCCUGCAGAUUUUUUAUUUACUUAGUCCAUUUUUUUUUUUUCUGGUAAAAUAACAUUGUGAGACGCAUAAUCUCACCUCCACGAGGCCUCUAGGGGCAUAUAUAAUCACAGAAUGCAUUUUCUAUAAUCUCACAAAAUGAGUCAAUUCCAUCUGAGGUACAAACAGUUAUACAAAGUCAGUAUUUCACUUCCAUCACUGCCUGACAUCAUCUUCCACACGGUGCAAGAAAACAUUUACUUACCUCUUUGACAUGAAUUGCCACAAAGCCUCUGGAACAAAAAAAUUGGGGAAAGCGAGGAAUUAAAAUGGAAUAACUUGACUUAAAGAAUUUAGCCCCUUUUCUGGGUGCAGGAUUUAGAUUUCUAGCUUUGUCAGAUGCUUUCUUAUAAUGUCCGGACUGGCCAUAGACGCCUCUAAUCUCUGUUCUUCAGUGGAAUCCCUAUGCACAAAUCAAUCAGAGAAUUGCCCGGAAUAUCCAAAGCUGGAAGCUGAUCUUCUUUCUUAAUCAUCUAAAUAUUUUCUUUGCACACGUGAGCAUUUCUGUGUGUGAAUUAAAUGCUGCCUUUAUUUCCCAGGCAGCUUCCCGAGGCGUGUUGUUUCUGACGCUUUUCCGUGCAAAGCGCAGCAGAGCAGGCUUUUCCUGAAGUUAAAUUCUUCUGAAUUUACAUUGCCUUAACGGGUUUAAGCAGGUGGCAGGUUUAGGAUGUUUCAGAGAGUUUUCGGAUCAUUUGGAGCAAAUUUUUGGGGUUCAUGGGCGUUAUAGGACCUGUCAGGCAGGUGGACUCUUCCCUACUCUCUGGGCAUGUAGCCCUGGAAACGCCGUCUCGUUUCUAGAUGUAUGGCGAGGUAAAAAGCUCAGAAUAGUCCUAGAUCACCUUUCUGAAGACUGGUGGUGUAUCACGUCUAUUAACGGUUCCUGUAACGGUGCAGGUUACAGACAUGGGACCAACCACCUGCAGUGAACCUCCUCAGGCAAAAUUCUCCUCUGCUUCAAUCGUGGUUUUUUCUGGAGAAGAGACCGCUGGCUGCACCCAGGGCGAUCCGCCGGUUCCUGGCUUAAGAGGCACUUAUAAUCUACUGCUAAGAGACUGAUUAGCAAUGUACAAAUGAAUUUGAAGCAAGAGAAGCAUUCUUCCUAGAAGAAAUAUAUUUUUUUUUUUGUAAAAUUAGUUUUGCUGACAGAAGUAAUUGGGCUAACUUCUUGUGACUAUGGAUGUUAUUUGUCGCCCCUUAUCUUACCAAAGCAAAGGGUGCCAAAUACUUUGAACUUUGUAAAUAAUUGUUUCCAAAGUGUGGGGGUUUUUUAAUUUUCUCUAUAUAAAUUCUUUAGAGAAAAGCUGGCUUCUAAUCCUUUCUCUUCCAAAGCUUUUACAGCUCAGCUUCUUCCCACUCUAGAUAUCUUUUAUUUUCCCUCUUUUGGUUUUAAUAUGUCUUAGAUAUUAUAUAAGUCUCUUUUAAGGGUAAAUCUAGAGCUUUCGCUCAGAUUGGAAAAGUCAUUCCUAAAGCUUUAAUAGAUUGAAGAGAGAGAGAGAGGAAAAAAAACCCCAAAUUAACUUUAUUUUGAACUGCCACAGAUUCUGGGGCUGUGGCGUGGAGACGAGCAUGCGAGCGCCUGACUGGUGCCCGGAGCAGGGGUCCUGGCCAUCGGUCUGGGUGUUUUUUCUUGCUCCAGAUACCCGGCUGGUGCAAAUGGCUGGUGGAGGGGUUGGUCCCUCACCGGUGGUUCAUUCCUUCUGGGCUGGACAGGAGCCGGGAGCUGCUCUGCCCGCUCUGUCCCACCGCACUGGUGCUCGCUAUCCCCUCCCGUGCCCAGGAGAGGGGCACGGUUUUCUUGCAAACACAAUUUUUCUUGGUUUUAGUUCGCUUUUGCAACCACAGCAACAAAUUUUAACCCAGAAAUGGGACAGAAAGCUCUCCCAGAGUGUGCGUUAUUGAAGCAGUGUCAGAAGCCGGCAGGAAAUCCACAGCUAUUAUUUGCAUAAAAAGAAGCAAACUUGCGGAUGUGGAAAAACUGAAAUGCUGGAAAAGCAAGACAUGACUUACUCCAUCAUCCUGGAAAGUUGAAUGUGAAUGUUCUUACUUAUCUGUCUAUCUGCUAUCUAUCUAUCUGUCUAUCUAUCUGUUUACUGAUUUGGACAAAAGACAUAAAUGAUGAGAAAGGUACGUCUCUAACCGGAGCAGUUACCUCGCCUUGGGUUCUCAGAGGUGACAGGGAUGCGUACGGUUUGGGUAGACGUGGAUAGCCCAGAAAAAUAAAUGACAGUUUGACAUGCUUGCAUUGCCACCGGAGCAGGGCUGGGUGUUAAAUCCCGGUUUUCAGCCUAAGACAGCAACCUAAACCAGGGAGCAGCAAAGCCCGGGCAUCCGUGGGGAACUUCUGGAGUCGCAGGAGCUUCUUAGCAGAUUCCAAAGGAAGGAUCUGUGUUGAGACACCUUGUUGAAUCAGUCUCAGACCCAGCACAGAAACACCUCAUGGCCAGCGUAGGGCUCCUCAGCCCUUCGUCUGGUCAAGAUCCAGCUGCUGUUGAGGGAUGCUCACUUGAUGUCUCGUGUUUGUGUUGUGGUGCUAUUCCCCAGCUGUCUUCCAACGCCAAGGGGGAACGUAGUUCCUGUUAAUCCCAGCUGUGAGACUUACUUCUUGAGUCUCCAAGUAAGAACUUGAUGGUAGGAGACUCCCGCUAAGACUGAUCUUUCCUCCUUCCCCUCCUCCAAAGCCAGCGGUUUCAGGUCUUAGAUGCCACCAGCAGCUCCCCAGGCACUCAGUUGGUGGUUUGCUCCCUGACCCAGCUGAAGUGGGAAGGAAUUUAAAAUUCCCAGUAUUUUUUUUCCUUUAAAAAAAAAAAAGUUUAUGAUUUUUAAGAAGGCACCUUAGAGCAGAGCCCAAAUGGGAAUGUUUGCAUUUGAUACCAUCCAUCAACGUCGAGACACCAAGGGAGCGGCUCCUCCGGCUCCUUGCAUCGCGGUGGACAGAAGGAGCUGUCAGGGAGCCGCGUGCGGCCGCCGCAUCGAGCCGGGCGGGAGCCGUGCUGGCAGAGAUCCCUUCCACAGAGGGGAUUUCUGCACUGACAAUUUUUGGCUCCUUUAGGUUACUUUGGAGCUGCGCAGAAUUUGUAAUGUUCUGCACUCGCGGAGGGGCUGACAGGGAGCUUAAAUACAGAUUGCAAAGAUAGAUCAUCUCCCAACAUCACUUUGUUUUCUGCUGCUCUAAAAUCAUUUUACUUGUUCCUGCAGCUCCUAUAAAGCCAGAAGAGCUCUCUAUAUUUGCUUCCCGGAUGCCUUUUUCUCCUCUGCUUACAACUAUAAAAGCAGCUUUUCAUGCUCCAAAUCAGAGAUAAAUUGAAAUCGCUGCUGAAGAAAUAAAACACGAGGCUAAUCAAAUUGUAGCACAGGAAGCAGCCUUCAGCCAGUGCAUUUUUUUGAGAACUAUUUUUAGAAUAUAUUUUUAUUUUGUCACUCCAUAUGGGAAGUCAAACCCAUAUGGUUUGGGAGAAUGGAAGGUUGUGCUUUUAUAGAGAUCUCGCAAACCAUCCCCGCUCAGCCACGUACUUAAACAUGUGCUUAAAUCCAAUCGCCUGCGAUGGGACCGAAGCACUCGAACUCCUCGCUGACUGGGGCCUCGGGCCCUGUCUGAGGUUGUAAGAGUAUUGCUCCCUCCUGAGAUGUAAAACCAUUUUAUAUUCGUUAAACCUGUCUCCAGUUAACUGGGCUUUUCUUAAUUAUGACAUUUCUCAUUCAUACACCUUUCCUUUUUUUUUUCUUUUCUUUUUCAUGUCUUCAUUUCUUCUCUGUCGUUCGGAUGCCCUGAUGAAUGCAUUUGGUCCAGUACCAGCCAGGAGGUGAUGCUGAACAUCCGUACCUUCCCUCUCCUGCUUUUCACAGUAAACGUUGCUGCCCUGCAAAUAUCGAGAUUAAUGUGGUACCGUGGCACCUUCUGAGCAUGCUGAUGAUGCAAUAAUUGACUGGAAAAGCACAGCUCAACACCGUGGCCCCAGUAAAGCCAACCAAGAGUUUGCCAGUGACUUCAUUGGAGCCAGAACUUCAUCCCAGGCCAGAGGCAGCUGAUGGAGAGUGCCACGGGCUGGGGACCUGGAGCCAUUUCAAGUCAGUGACGUAGAAGUGAAAAAAUUCCUUGUCAGAUAACCGAUCUCAUCGGCAACCCAGGGUACCCAAUUUUCACUCAGGAUUUUCUACCGAGUUUCCAUUCAUGUUGCAACUAUGUGGAUAAUAUGUUAUGGCGUUAUUCUUAAAAAAGUAAAGAAUUUAUUUCUUUAAGAGACGGGCGAUUUGUAGAAGACAUUUGUGUAAUUUUGCAUUCUAAAUGUGAUUUAUAUUUAUAAAUAAAUUUGCAUAAAA